GCGAUCUCAGCAGUGGCUUUGUUCCCAGCAUCGCUCCUCGCUAACUCCAACCAUCUCUGUACAAAAAAAAGUAUUUACUCCUUUUUGACUCGACCUUAUUAUUAUUUUUUUUUGUCAUGGACAAAUUUGACUCAGCCUUUUGUUACAUAAGUUUAACCAGUUACACGUUACACUGUAAUAUAUUCAUUCUAAAAAUAUAUAUUUCCAAUGCCUAAAGGGCCUAAUUCAGGCCCAAUCAUCAUAA
rnacentral:lncRNA from 1 species